rnacentral:rRNA from 1 species
UACGAAGGGUGCAAACGUUGCUCGGAAUUACUGGGCGUAAAGCGCACGUAGGCGGACAUUUAAGUCAGGGGUGAAAUCCCAGAGCUCAACUCUGGAACUGCCUUUGAUACUGGGUGUCUUGAGUAUGGAAGAGGUGAGUGGAAUUCCGAGUGUAGAGGUGAAAUUCGUAGAUAUUCGGAGGAACACCAGUGGCGAAGGCGGCUCACUGGUCCAUUACUGACGCUGAGGUGCGAAAGCGUGGGGAGCAAACAGG